rnacentral:rRNA from 1 species
UACGGGGGGGCAAGCGUUGUUCGGAAUUACUGGGCGUAAAGGGCUCGUAGGCGGCCAACUAAGUCGGACGUGAAAGCCCUCGGCUUAACCGAGGAACUGCGUCCGAUACUGGAUGGCUUGAGGUUGGGAGAGGGAUGCGGAAUUCCUGGUGUAGCGGUGAAAUGCGCAGAUAUCAGGAGGAACACCAAUGGCGAAGGCAGCUCGCUGGGACGGUACUGACGCUGAGGCGCGAAAGCGUGGGGAGCAAACAGG